GGGAAAAGUUUCUAUUCACUACCCUUCAACUGAUAAAAGCCAGACUGUCUUGAUGCCUUCUGGAUUAGUGGCCUUAAUGAAGGUGAUUCUCACGUGGUUGAAGGGCAUAAAACCAAGAGAUACAGAAAAGAGUUGUUUAAGGAUGGUUCUAGUUACCUAACUCCCAAGAAUACCUACACAAGUGAACAAUAGCCAAUGUUUACAAAAAGCCCAGUUAGUACCAAAUGCUGUUGGGUCCAUACACUCAUUAUCUCAUCUUUUCAGACAAGGAAACUGAGGCUUGGAGAUGUUAGGGAACUUGCCCAAAGUCCUAAAGCUGGUAAGCGGGAGAGACAGAAGCAGAAACAGAGCUAGCUCUUUUCCCCACUACACUCAUAGCCAUGAUGUCAAUAUUAUCACUGUAACGGGCAUCCUCUUAUUGCAAUGGCUCUUUUUAUAGGAGUAUGGUUUCAAAGAUAAAUUUAAGCUAACAUUAUAAACUUUGUCACAUUCUCUCCCAGAAGUACUUCUUUAAUGACUGCAUAACUUUUAUUCCCAUAAUAGUCCUAUUUUUACUUCUGAAAAAAAGGAAGCAAUUCCUGUCUCACAAUUCUAUAGUAACGAUGCAUCUAAAUUCACGUUUCCGUAGUAUGAAAUUUUAGGAAAGCUCUUUCUGGUUAUUAACUGGCCUUCAGCGGAGCUAGUUUGCCUAUUUAAGUGAGCAGUAUGUGGAAUUUCUUCCAGAUCACUCGCACGCCACUAGCUAGAGCCGGCAAAAACACUGAUCUCACGGCCGCCCACUCAGCUAGAUCUCUUUCUGCAGGCACUGACUCGGUUUCCAAACCCAACACUCCGACAGCGGCUUUCUGCUCGUCUGUACGCGUCAGUUGCUCCAAGCGGUUAUCCCUACAGCUGAUCUGGGUUGCUUUCAACCUAUCAACUACGGAGCUAUGAAGACAAACCUGGGUUUGGCUUUUCUAAGGAAUUUCAAGCUCCUAACUAUGCCUUGGUGGAGAGAAGGCCAGGCACCCUGAGGGGGCACGAGUUUUCUUCUUUUUCAAAAGUUUCUAUCUUUUGCCCAGACACAGGAGUAAGAGCACACACGACUACCCCCGGCGAGCCCGGCGUGGCAUCCCUCGGAGCGCGGGGUACGAUGGGAAAUAGGCCUCAGGCCCCGCCCACCUAAUACUACUCGCCUGCAUCAGACGCCGGGCCCUCUCGGACUCCAGCAGCCUCGGCCUCGCCCACCUCGACCCCCACCCCCGCCUCUGGCUCCGCCCACUCAAGUCCAGCCAGCCUCAGGCUCCUUGGUCGCCUCAGGCUCCGCCCGCCUGAGGCCCCACCCCCGGGUCCCCAGGCCUCCUGAAGCUCCGCCCCCGAGGCUCCGGCCCCCUCGGGCCGGUUUGCCACAGGCCCAGCGGUCAUGGUGGCGUCGCUGGGCUGAAGGAAGUCGUCGCCGCUCCGGCCGCCUGGCCCUCUCACCUCGGGUUGUGGUUCAGGUUCAGCGCGAUCCAAGAUCUGGAACCAGAUAUUUAUAAGAAGAGCUCUGUUUCUUUUUAUUUAGGGAGUCAGCCUUAGAAGCUAAGAUCUAGAAGGGUUGAAUCAUCUACCUUCUGAUUAAGUUUGAUCAUGUGAGAAAUGACCACUGAGCAGAAUAUGAAGGAUGAAAGUGGAAAAUAGCAACACACAGCCACAAGGUACAAUCUCAGACUAAAACCGUGAGGGGGAGAGAUGCACACUACCCUUUUCUUCUCAAUAUGAACUCGGAAGAUCUACAGGGUUUAAGUUUCAGGAGGUAACAACAUUGACUAGAGACAUCUGGAAUGUGAAGACUGCUGUGCAAGGCUACCAUGUGGUGGGGCGCCAGGAGGGAGGAGGACAAAGGAAGCUCCGACUGUUUUUUAAAUAUUCAUUUCUUUGCACCCACCUGCAGCAAAUAUGAUAAAACGUUAACAUUUAUUAAAUACAGGCGAAGGUUUCAUGGCUGUUCGUUAUACUAUUCUCUAAUAUUUUCCCUCUGUAUUUUUCUGUAUGGCUGAAAGAGUUCCUUAAAAAUAAACAUGUGCUACUGUGUGUACUACUACUCUUUACACUGUGGAAAGCUUCAUGGAACCAGAGAAAAAUAACAGAAUUGGGGAGUCUGGAGAAUCAGAUUCAAGUCCUAACUAUGCCAUUAAUCAGCUACAGGAUUUUAAGUAACUCACAACCUUUCUAGAAUUCAAGAACUUAUCAAAUCAAGAACUUUACCAAAUAAAAUACGAAAUGAUAUCUUAGGGCUGUCCAGUGUGAACAUUAUGAUUCAUUUAUUAAUGCCACUAUAUAAAUGCUGUAAUCCUAUGAGGGUGAUAAAACAUCAAAGAAUUAAAGCUCAACAGGACUCAUAAACUCACGUUAAUUGUUAAAUCUGGAAAGUACCUCUCAAUAGUUUACUUGCAUAAAAUAUUCUUUGCUACUCCUGUAAUUCAUUGGGUCCCAGCGUUUUAAAAUGUGAGAAUCUGGGGGCCAGCCCGGUGGUGCAGUGGUUAAGUUCACCUGUUGCGCUUUGGCGGCCCAGGGUUCCCCGGUUCGGAUCCCAGGUGAGGACAUGACACUGCUUGUCAAGCC